GAAGCACAAAGGAAGAAUUUCUGGGACUUAGUGAGCUUGGUUUUGAACGUAUUGUGUGGGAAGUAUUUGGGGACACUCAAGGAGAGGGGUGUCAGCUAAAAGAGGAGGUUGGACAAGAAGAUCUCGGCAAGGCCCACUGGCUGGAGAUAGCAGAUUUAGAAGUCCUUGUUUCCUGGUGGAGGACAAAGCAUUGGAGAGAUCAGUCCAGGAGAGCACUGGUGUGGGAUGAGGAGAAGGGAGUCAUUCUGGAAUCUCUUGGAAUCUCAGCAGAACAGAAAAGAUCCAGGAAAUGAUGCCAGGAUUUCAAUGACCCAGAAGGGUCACAGAGGCGCUUAGAGGGGAAUUCAGUUCUGACCUCUCCACCUCAAACUUGGGCUCGUCCUCUCCGAGGCAGGAGGCCCAUCUGAUUCUGUGUGGGUAGAGCGGCAACUGGGAGCUGACCGAGAGAGGCAGGGACAAGAAGGAUCACAGCGUGGAAGAAGAGGGGACAUAAGCUUGGCAUUCAGGAUGAAAGGGCUGUUAAAUGAGAGGUGUUACUGUGGCUUCUGAUUAGGGGCCCCAACCCUGGGGUUGACCGUUGUUCACUGGUCUCCCCUGUAGCUUGUGUGGGGGCACAGACCAUCCCCAAGCCACAGAAGAGAAGAACGGGAGCAGACUGCUCUUCCCGCCUCUACGGGGAUGCAGGACUUUGCUUCACAUGGGCUGCAGGAAGAAGUAAGAAUAUUGCCCCCUCCCUCACCACCAGCAGCCUGUGAAGGAUACACAUUGUACAUGCGUAAUCGGGGGAACCCUCAGGGCAGUGACUGACACAGAGCAAAUACUCAAGAACACAUUCUUGAUUAGAAAGCAUCUUCAGGCCCUGUCCCUCCAGAUAAGUCCUAGGACCUGCACUCCACUCCGGUGUUGGCUCACGAGUAUAAGGGAGCAGAAAUGCUAGAAGACCUGUCUUUGAAAGCACCUGUGGAUUUGCUUGCCUGCUUUGGAUCACUUAGGGCAGGCUUGAACAGCCUCUUAAUAGGUUAGUUUUGUGGUUGGUGAAUUCCUCCAGCAGGGUAAGUGGAUUUCAUUUAGCUAUGCAAAGGAAGAAAGGCAGUCUGCUGGCCCUGGGGAGCAGCAAACAUCAGACCAAGCUGAAGGACUUUGAAGUUGCCCACUGGCCUAGAAACCCUCUUGAGAAACUGACUCUGCAGGUUUGGUGCACACCUUGUUUUAUUUUGUUAUCCCCUCAGCCAGACUCACAAUCUGUUUCAUUCACCUGGAAAGCUGCAUUGUCUUGACAACCAGGAGGCAUUCAAGAGAUUGCUGGCCCCUGGGGCUGCUGUGUAUUACCAGAUGGGCAGAAAGGACAUCGGCCUCUCAGAUGGGCCUUCACUGGUGAAUAGAAACGCAGAACUGAGACGAUUUUCCAGAUUGUUCUGAUAAAUAGGAACUAUAUGUGCCCCAACUAUUUGGGGUUAUAAUUUUUCGAUAGAGGCAAAAGUGAGGUAUUCCAGUUCUUUACUACAGGCUUAGAGAAACCGUCUCGGGAUUUAACUUGCCAACCAUUUAUGGAGUUUCUGAUGCACAAGAGAAAGGGUCUGGUUCACCUGCAGUGACUCUCAGUUCCUUCCUGCUCCUGCUCCCUGCUUUAACUACCUGCUUUAACUACCACGUUUAUAGGCACUUUUAGUCUUUAUCUUGCUAGGAUUGUCAUAUUUAGCAAACAAAAAUAGGGGACAUACUUAUACUAAAAAAAAUUCAUUCCUAUCUGAAAUUCAAAUUGCACUGGGCACUCUGCAUUGUAUCUGGCAACACCGUGUCGUAUAGUACUUGUCUGCCCACUCUUACCUAGCAGCUGUUCCUUGUUGAAAUGAUUUCCUUCUUUAACAAAUGCAACAUUGACUGACAUCGCUCUCUCCUGGUCUUUUGCCUUCUCUCUAGAUCACCCCUUGAUCUUUUAAAUGUUGAUCUCCCACCUCUGUUCUCUCUCCCUCACUCUUCCCAGCAUACCUUCAGCACAGUCAUGACCUCAGCAGUGGUCUUGUUAUAUCGAUGCGUCUGCUUCCAGCCUAGAGAACACGCUUGCUGCACCCACUCUAAAUCCCUAUUCCUCGUGGCCUCUUGGGCAACUCCAACCUGUUGCAAACUCAACAUGUUGCAAAUUUUACUCAUCUGUUCUUCUCUAUUUCUGCUCCUAUCUUAGUGCAUUUAGAAUAAUCUCCAACCCACUGCCAAGUCUGAAACCCAGCAGUCCCUCUCGAGUCUGCCCUCUCCCCCUGCCACAUCCAUAAUUUGUCUCCAUGCAUGAUGGAUUCUAUCUUCUAAAGUUUCCCUGACUGUCCCCUACUCCCUCUCUGCCAUUGCCCUAUCAUAAACCAUCAUCAUCACUCACCUAGAUCACCGCAGUAACCUCCCAAUUGGUCUCUCUGCCUCCCUUCCUCCUCCCUACCAUCUAUCUUUCACACCGUCCACUGAAGAACAUUGCUAACACGAAAGUUGCAUUAUGCCCUUCAUUGGUUUAUUGGUUUCAUGUCAACCACUGGGUAGCUUGUUCUUUUGGCCUCUUAACCUCUGGUGAAUUCCCACUUCUCCAAGUUUAUCCACUGACACAAAAACAACCCCAGCCAUAGUGAAGACACAGUCCCCUCCCCAUGCACUUGUAUGAUCUCAUAGUCGGAUUUCAUAUAUGCCAUGGCUCUUUCUGCAAUGCACUUACUUUCACUUGAAGCCACAGAAAGCUAUUCACCCUCCCAGCCUCAAGUCAGUAUUUGUCUCUUGGCAGAAGCCUUCCUAUAUUCUCUAAGAAGACCUGGUUGGGGAGGGAAGCGGUGAUCCCCACUCUGUGUUCUCCUAGCUACUAGAGUCUAGCACUUGUACUAACCUUUGUUAGAAAGCUCUCUAAGGCAAUGACCUGUUUGCAAGGCUUGCAUGUCCUGUAAUAGUUUGCAUAUUAUGUCAGAUCCUGAGUUCUUGGAACACAAAAACCAUACCUUUUGUUUGGCUUAGAUUUGUUAAUAUUUAGGACUUUUAAAAAAAUCUGUAAGGAUACAGAAACUAAUACAACCAACAGCUGUGUUCCUAUUGCCCUGUGUUGACCACCAUUAAUACCAUGUUGUAUUUACUGUCAAUCUCACCCCGUUGAUCCUCCUCUCACCCCUCAGAGGCCAAAUUGGAAGCAAAAGAACCAGAUGAAGGGAUCCCAUAGUAGGUAUUUCAGAAGUGCCAGAGCAGGGCACGGGUGCAUCUGGGAGGAGCAGGAAAUGGGUGAAAUGUAAUCAGUUCUGGCAUUCUUGAAAUGAGGUGUGGAAUAGCAGAAAUCAGCAUUUUUUCUUUAAAAAAACCCUAUUUCCCCAGAGACUGAUGGCCCACCUGAGCUGUACACUGGUGGCAAACUGGAAACAUUUAAAUGAAAGAAAAAACCUUACUUUAUGUGGUUUUGGCUUUUGGAAAAAGUGAUUUUGAAGAACAUGCCCACACAUGAAGCCCUUGGGAAACUCACUUUGACUUCAUUUCGGUGGUUGUUCAAAAAAUUGUUUCAACCAGCUGAGAAGACUGGGCACCCAAAUCUUAACUGGGAUUACCUUUGGAUAGGAGAAUUGGAAGUAACUUUUUUUCCUGUUUGCCAAUCUGCCUUUUUUACAACAAUGAAGAAGAAGGAAGUUGCUUUAGAAACUAUACUCGAGGACAAUUAGAUAGUUUGGAAAUUUUUUCAUGAGAGACGUAGAGGAUUUGAAGAGAGGGAGAUUAUCUGUUGACAGCCUAGAAUUUGAAGCUUGAACUUUAAUAAAUUUCUCCUUGUCAGUGUUAUGGAUUGACUGACUGUACCAUUCAGGGAACAAACAGCUGACCUCAAGUCACAUGCCAAUAUAUUCACAAUUAAACAAUCACCCAAGAAGCUAUAGAGCACACAAAAUGCGUCGUGGCUAAAAAUAAUAAACAAAUGAAGCUUCUGUGUUUUCUUGCCUGAGAACAAGGGGCCUGUUCUUUUAGAUUUUUAUAGUGAAAUAGUGAGACUCUGUGGAAAAAAAUACAGUUGGGAAAUGUUCUCAGUGAAACAUUGGGAAUGCAUCAUAGAAUCUGAGGGCUUCUGACUUGACCUGUGAUCAGCUAAGAAGGAAGGAUUGGCUGUGAACAGGUGACCUGUGGAUCUCUGGAUUACCAAUUCAAUACAGAAA